ACACAUGCAAGUCGAGGGGAAACGACAUCGAAAGCUUGCUUUUGAUGGGCGUCGACCGGCGCACGGGUGAGUAACGCGUAUCCAACCUGCCCACCACUUGGGGAUAACCUUGCGAAAGUAAGACUAAUACCCAAUGACGUCUCUAGAAGACAUCUGAAGGAGAUUAAAGAUUUAUCGGUGAUGGAUGGGGAUGCGUCUGAUUAGCUUGUUGGCGGGGUAACGGCCCACCAAGGCGACGAUCAGUAGGGGUUCUGAGAGGAAGGUCCCCCACAUUGGAACUGAGACACGGUCCAAACUCCUACGGGAGGCAGCAGUGAGGAAUAUUGGUCAAUGGACGAGAGUCUGAACCAGCCAAGUAGCGUGCAGGAUGACGGCCCUAUGGGUUGUAAACUGCUUUUAUAAGGGAAUAAAGUGAGUCUCGUGAGACUUUUUGCAUGUACCUUAUGAAUAAGGACCGGCUAAUUCCGUGCCAGCAGCCGCGGUAAUACGGAAGGUCCGGGCGUUAUCCGGAUUUAUUGGGUUUAAAGGGAGCGUAGGCCGGAGAUUAAGCGUGUUGUGAAAUGUAGACGCUCAACGUCUGCACUGCAGCGCGAACUGGUUUCCUUGAGUACGCACAAAGUGGGCGGAAUUCGUGGUGUAGCGGUGAAAUGCUUAGAUAUCACGAAGAACUCCGAUUGCGAAGGCAGCUCACUGGAGCGCAACUGACGCUGAAGCUCGAAAGUGCGGGUAUCGAACAGGAUUAGAUACCCUGGUAGUCCGCACGGUAAACGAUGGAUGCCCGCUGUUGGUCUGAAUAGGUCAGCGGCCAAGCGAAAGCAUUAAGCAUCCCACCUGGGGAGUACGCC
rnacentral:rRNA from 1 species